UGUGACACUGUACCUACCCAGGAGUACUAGCAAAGUGAGGGACGAGGACAAGCAGCUCAUCUGAUGGACUUUCUGCUGAGGCAGGCGCUAGAGCGGCGCCACACCGCCACCUUGUGGCCACGCCGUGCAACAGCUGCCGCGGCGCCUCGGCUGGUCCCGGCUCCAAACCGGCUACCGUCGGACAGAGCGUAAUUGUAACAUCUCCUUUCUUUUCCAAAUGCAAGCAGCUUACAGGCUCCUUCGGAGAGCUCAACACCUCUGAAAGGCAUCCAGGCCGUUGCAAAGGCUCCUCGGUUGGUGUUGCAGCCAUUCCAAGUCGCCUUGCUCUGAUUGAAGACUGCAGCGGUUGAAGUUGUAAGGGAGUCCCUGAUCACAGCUAUGACUGAAUAUGCACAUCACAGUAGGUUCCUUCAGCUGGAUUGCAGCUGCUCAGCUUCUCUGCCUUCCCGCUCUAUCUGUCUUCCUAAACUCCACGUCCGCUGGGAAAUGUUGCAAAAGCUGCGUGGUGAGCUGAGCCCUGGGCAGAGUCCGCACACGGAGCUCUGAGACAGCCUCUCUCACUGCUCAGAGACGCUCUGUGGUGAUCAGCAGACAGGGAAUGUCUGGCCAGAUGCUGAACAGUGACAGUCUGCUGCCUGAUAUAAACUGUGGUGCUCACACAGGAGCCACUUGCUUGUUCUGUAGGUUUUACCUAGAUUCCACCCCGUUCUAAAGAAGAUCCCACUCUGUCUUUCCA